rnacentral:misc_RNA from 1 species
GAUGAAGAACGUAGCGAAAUGCGAUAAGUAGUGUGAAUUGCAGAAUUCAGUGAAUCAUCGAAUCUUUGAACGCACAUUGCGCCCGCCAGUAUUCUGGCGAGCAUGCCUGUUCGAGCGUCAUUUCAACCAUCAAGCCCCAGGCUUGUGUUGGAGCCCUGCGGCUGCCGCAGCCUCCCAAAACCAGUGGCGGGCUCGCUAUCACACCGAGUGCAGUAGUUUACUCUUCGCUCAGGGCGUGUGGCGGGUGCUAGCCGUGAAACCCCCAACUUCUCAAGGUUGACCUCGGAUCAGGUAGGAAUACCCGCUGAACUUAAGCAUAUCAAAAGCGGAGGA